rnacentral:rRNA from 1 species
UACGUAGGGUGCGAGCGUUAAUCGGAAUUACUGGGCGUAAAGCGUGCGCAGGCGGUUGUGCAAGACAGAUGUGAAAUCCCCGGGCUUAACCUGGGAAUUGCAUUUGUGACUGCACGGCUAGAGUGUGUCAGAGGGAGGUAGAAUUCCACGUGUAGCAGUGAAAUGCGUAGAUAUGUGGAGGAAUACCGAUGGCGAAGGCAGGCCUCCCUGGGGAUAACACUGACGCUCAUGACACGAAAGCGUGGGGAGCAAAC